CCUACGGGAGGCAGCAGUGGGGAAUAUUGCACAAUGGGCGCAAGCCUGAUGCAGCGACGCCGCGUGGGGGAUGACGGCCUUCGGGUUGUAAACUCCUUUCGCUAGGGACGAAGCUUUUUGUGACGGUACCUAGAUAAGAAGCACCGGCUAACUACGUGCCAGCAGCCGCGGUAAUACGUAGGGUGCGAGCGUUGUCCGGAAUUACUGGGCGUAAAGGGCUCGUAGGUGGUUUGUCGCGUCGUCUGUGAAAUUCCGGGGCUUAACUCCGGGCGUGCAGGCGAUACGGGCAUAACUUGAGUACUGUAGGGGUAACUGGAAUUCCUGGUGUAGCGGUGAAAUGCGCAGAUAUCAGGAGGAACACCGAUGGCGAAGGCAGGUUACUGGGCAGUUACUGACGCUGAGGAGCGAAAGCAUGGGUAGCGAACAGGAUUAGAUACCCUGGUAGUCCAUGCGUAACGGUAGGCGCGUAGGUGUGAGGUCGUUUCUACGACCUCGUGCGUAGCUACGCAUAGCGCCCGCCGUCGGGAGGUACGGCCGCGACGGACGUAAACUACAAAGAAGUUAGACGGCGNGAGACGUGCCGACGGACGACGACGAGGGAGGUAGG
rnacentral:rRNA from 1 species